AUUGAACGCUGGCGGCAGGCUUAACACAUGCAAGUCGAGCGGGGUGAUGGUGCUUGCACUAUCACUUAGCGGCGGACGGGUGAGUAAUGCUUAGGAAUCUGCCUAUUAGUGGGGGACAACAUCUCGAAAGGGAUGCUAAUACCGCAUACGUCCUACGGGAGAAAGCAGGGGAUCACUUGCGACCUUGCGCUAAUAGAUGAGCCUAAGUCGGAUUAGCUAGUUGGUGGGGUAAAGGCCUACCAAGGCGACGAUCUGUAGCGGGUCAGAGAGGAUGAUCCGCCACACUGGGACUGAGACACGGCCCAGACUCCUACGGGAGGCAGCAGUGGGGAAUAUUGGACAAUGGGGGGAACCCUGAUCCAGCCAUGCCGCGUGUGUGAAGAAGGCCUUAUGGUUGUAAAGCACUUUAAGCGAGGAGGAGGCUCUUUUGGUUAAUACCCAAGAUGAGUGGACGUUACUCGCAGAAUAAGCACCGGCUAACUCUGUGCCAGCCGCCGCAGUAA
rnacentral:rRNA from 1 species